rnacentral:rRNA from 1 species
CCAAUAGCGUAUAUUAAAGUUGUUGCAGUUAAAAAGCUCGUAGUUGAAUUUCGGGAUCAAUAUGUCGGUCGUGCCUUCGGUACGUACUGGUAUCAUUGGUCUCUCCUUUCUGACGAACCAUGAUGUCAUUAAUUUGGUGUUAUGGGGAGUUAGGACUGUUACUUUGAAAAAAUUAGAGUGUUUAAAGCAGGCUUUAGCUUGAAUACAUUAGCAUGGAAUAAUGAAAUAGGACGUUCGAACCUAUUUUGUUGGUUUCUAGGAUCAACGUAAUGAUUAAUAGGGAUAGUUGGGGGCAUUAGUAUUAAAUUGUCAGAGGUGAAAUUCUUGGAUUUAUUGAAGACUAACUACUGCGAAAGCAUUUGCCAAGGAUGUUUUCAUUAAUCAAGAACGAAAGUUAGGGGAUCGAAGACGAUCAGAUACCGUCGUAGUCUUAACCAUAAACUAUGCCGACUAGGGAUCGGAUGAUGUUAAUUUUUUAAUGACUCAUUCGGCGCCUUACG